rnacentral:rRNA from 1 species
AUUGCACGCUGGCGGAAUGCUUUAUACAUGCAAGUCGAACGGCAGCACGGACUUCGGUCUGGUGGCGAGUGGCGAACGGGUGAGUAAUGUAUCGGUACGUGCCCAGUCGAGGGGGAUAACGCAGUGCAAAUUACGCUAAUACCGCAUACGAUCUAUGGAUGAAAGCGGGGGAGCGCAUGACUUUCACACAUUAGUGCGGGCGCUAUCAGUUUAGGUAGUUGGUGGGGUAAAGGCCCACCAAGCCAACGAUCUGUGGCUGGUCUGUGAGGACGGCCAGCCACACUGGAACUGAGACACGGUCCAGACUCCUACGGGAGGCAGCAGUGGGGAAUUUUGGACAAUAGGCGAAAGGCUGAUCCAACCAUUCCGCGUGCAGGAUGAAGGCCCUCGGGUUGUAAACUGCUUUUGUACAGAACGAAAAGGUUUCUACUAAUACUAGGAGCUCAUGACGGUACUGUAAGAAUAAGCACCGGCUAACUACGUGCCAGCCGCCGCCGUAA